GUAUGUCUGUGUGUGUGUCAGUAUGUCUGUGUGUAUGCCAGUAUGUCUGUGUGUGUGUGUCAGUAUGUCUGUGUGUAUGCCAGUAUGUCUGUGUGUGUAUGUCAGUGUGUGUGUGUAUGCCAGUAUGUCUGUGUGUGUGUGUGUGUCAGUAUGUCUGUGUGUAUGCCAGUAUGUCUGUGUGUGUAUGUGUGUCAGUAUGUCUGUGUGUAUGCCAGUAUGUCUGUGUGUGUAUGUAUGUCUGUGUGUGUGUGUGUGUCCAGUGUGUGUGUGUGUGUGUGUGUCAGUAUGUCUGUGUGUAUGCCAGUAUGUCUGUGUGUGUGUAUGUAGGUAUGUCUCUGUGUGUGUGUGUACGUGUGUGUCAGUAUGUCUGCCAGGAUAUAUUUGUGUGUCAGUGUAUGUGUGUGUCAGUAUGUAUCUGUGAAUGUUUUAAUGUCUGUCUGUGUGUAUGUGCCAGUACGUCUGUCUGUGUGUGUGUCAGCAUGUCUU